AGUGAACGCUGGCGGUAGGCCUAACACAUGCCAGUCGAACGGCAGCACAGUAAGAGCUUGCUCUUACGGGUGGCGAGUGGCGGACGGGUGAGGAAUGCAUCGGAAUCUACUUUUUCGUGGGGGAUAACGUAGGGAAACUUACGCUAAUACCGCAUACGACCUACGGGUGAAAGCAGGGGAUCUUCGCACCUUGCGCGAUUGAAUGAGCCGAUGUCGGAUUAGCUAGUUGGCGGGGUAAAGGCCCACCAAGGCGACGAUCCGUAGCUGGUCUGAGAGGAUGAUCAGCCACACUGGAACUGAGACACGGUCCAGACUCCUACGGGAGGCAGCAGUGGGGAAUAUUGGACAAUGGGCGCAAGCCUGAUCCAGCCAUACCGCGUGGGUGAAGAAGGCCUUCGGGUUGUAAAGCCCUUUUGUUGGGAAAGAAAAGCAGCAGGUUAAUACCCCGCUGUUCUGACGGUACCCAAAGAAUAAGCACCGGCUAACUUCGUG
rnacentral:rRNA from 1 species